UCUUCUGGAUUUUUCCAGCUGAGUGCAGAC
rnacentral:piRNA from 1 species